UUAUAAGCGCAGUGGCGGUACCACAGCCAAUGAGGUUUUACCGAGGCGUGGUUAUUGCUAGUUUGUAAUCUACGACAAACAUUCAAUGUCAUCCUCUCAGACGACAUUCGCAAAAAUUGUCAGCGGCAGCAAAGGGGUUG